rnacentral:rRNA from 1 species
UACGGGGGGGGUAAGCGUUGUUCGGAGUUACUGGGCGUAAAGGGCUCGUAGGCGGCCAACUAAGUCAUACGUGAAAUCCCUCAGCUUAACUGGGGAACUGCGUGUGAUACUGGAUGGCUUGGAUUUGGGAGAGGGAUGCGGAAUUCCAGGUGUAGCGGUGAAAUGCGUAGAUAUCUGGAGGAACACCGGUGGCGAAGGCGGCGUUCUGGACUGCAACUGACACUGAUGAACGAAAGCCAGGGGAGCAAACGGG